CCCUACGGGGUGCAGCAGGCGCGAAACCUCCGCAAUGCACGGAAGUGCGACGGGGGGACCCCAAGUGCCACUCUUAACGGGGUGGCUUUUCUUGAGUGUAAAAAGCUUUUGGAAUAAGGGCUGGGCAAGACCGGUGCCAGCCGCCGCGGUAACACCGGCAGCUCAAGUGGUAGCCAUUUUUAUUGGGCCUAAAGCGUUCGUAGCCGGUUUGAUAAGUCUCUGGUGAAAUCCUAUGGCUUAACUGUGGGAAUUGCUGGAGAUACUAUUAGACUUGAGGUCGGGAGAGGUUAGCGGUACUCCCAGGGUAGGGGUGAAAUCCUGUAAUCCUGGGGGGACCACCUGUGGCGAAGGCGGCUAACUGGAACGAACCUGACGGUGAGGGACGAAAGCCAGGGGCGCGAACCGGAUUANAUACCCGGGUAGUCCUGGCCGUAAACGAUGUGGACUUGGUGUUGGAAUGNCUUCNAGCUGCUC
rnacentral:rRNA from 1 species